GAGGAGGCUUUUCUUCUCCAAAAUUCUCCAGGCUGCUGUGGUGCGCUUUUGUUUUACGGUGGAACACUACCGUUAAAAAGCGUAGCCGUGAAACUAAGUGAGACUAAAACCUGCCGCCUACUUCCUGGAGGCUUUUGUUGGGUCUUGAAACUAGGAAUCUUUGCGGGUCAUCCUUGAAAGAUCCGGUAAAAAGCACCUGUGUUUCGUGAGACGGAGCUGCUGUGGAAAAGACCCGUGGCGCACUGUCUUCUUGGGUCCGGGGCCAGCAGAUCCAUCUUCUAGAAUUCAAGACCAAAGGUGGGAGGACACGGCGGAAGGUUUUGAGAAAGGAAGCGGAGCGUCCUCUUUAGACCCACGGGGCUCAUCCUGUUUUUUUCCGACGUCUCUGGACAGAGGAUGCCGUCAGCAUAAAGACGUCGUGUUGAUGAUGCUGCCAGAAGGAGCCCGCAGUGUUCCCGUCGCAGGAACGUGGCUUCAGGUGCAGUUUCACCUCGAAAAGUGAGCAGGACCAGCUUUCCUCAAGGAAGCUCUGGCUCCUGGUGUCAUUAUAGGCCUUGGGGAGGGGGCCCUGGCUGCGGUCCUUUGUCCUGUCUCCACUGUCACUCCUUCCUCAAAACAUACAUAUUCAUGCCCGGGCGUCAUCCUUUGCCGAAGGGACCCACUCUGUGCCUGAGCACCUGUCCCCGCGAGGGGCCAUGCCAGCCGAGUCCUUUUCCGGCACAGGGUCAUCAGCUGAGCCGUCUGACGGGCAGCACGUGCUCUGACGCACCUGCCCCCACCUUCCUCCACGAAUGGACACCGUUAAUCCCAAGUCAGGCCGGCUGGGAUUCUGGCCACACAGGGGCAAGGCCUUCGUCAAAGAAGAACUGUCUCAAAGGGCAGCAAGCACCACGUAAGUGUUCGCUUUUUUCUUGAUGCCACCGUGCUACACACAAACCCCCACGGAGGCGGCGGCAAGAAACCACCCCCAAAGGGAGGGAGGCCAGCGGGAGACGCGGGCCUGCGUUUCAGAGGGAAGGAGCGGGUCAGGGCCGCGGCCAGUCAGCUUCGGAAGUUUAAGGCUGCCCCUCAGAGCGGGGACACGCUCUGCUGUGGCUCCCAGCCGUCGAUGGGGAAGCUUGAAGGGUGUCUGGGGGUUUGAUUUGGCUGGUCGUUGGGUGUUUGGGGUCUCGCCAAAGUAGCCACCCGGUUUGGAAACAUAACUUAGGAAAAAAAAAGCAUUGAUGCCCACCUCCAGAUUAGGGUGCCCUCCUGUUCCGUGGAAACUUCAGACAAGCAGCCCUUCACUCUACUAAGGCAUACAGUCCUGGCGCAUCUUCGCGGGCCUGGGCACUGACUGUGUGAGCACUGAGACCAGGCCUGGAGGAGCCCCAAACCCUCUGCCUCCCGGAGCGUCCAGUCUGCACGCCAUUCCGGUUCUGCAGGUGUGGCUUCAGGCGAAUGUCCCCACCUGGACCACCUGUUCUGAACAUCAGAAUCGGAGACAAGUGAUUGCUUGAACUCAUCCAGGAAUCGAAGCGAUCCCUAUGACCUGUUUUCAAAGAUUUCAUUCAGGAAUACACUCGAAAAACAGAACAGUGGACCUCUUAAUUCUAAAAUGAGGAGGCGUGGAGUUCCCACUAGGGCACAGUGGGUUGAGAACCCCACUGCAGCGGCUCAGGUUGCUGGUGAAGCGUGGGUUCCAUUCCAGGCCUGGUGCAGCAGGUUAAAGGAUCCAACGUUGCCGCCCCGCUUGGAUUCAGUCCCUGGCCCCCCAGGAACUUCCAUAUGCCAGGGUGCCACCCUAAAAAUUAACAAUAAAUGAAAAAAUAAACUGAGGAGGUGUGAGGGGCACCCAUACAUUCUUGUGUUUCUACAACAGCCGAGCAGCAAAGGGGAGACUUGCUGGGGCCCCUCAGUUCAUUGUUGUAGCAUCAUAAUCCCUCUUCCCCGCAUUUGAGAGGCUUAAGGGCUGUCACCCGCAAGAGACCAGAGGAGGCAAAUCCAGCGGUAAUGGCCUCACACACUGUCAUCAGAGAGACUCAGUAAAAAGCCUUUCAGUUUCGUUAAUCAGAAAAAGCCUUACGGUUAAUGAGACUGUGCAAAGCCUGGACGUGGAGGUAAAAGUCCAGCCUUGAAAUGACCCCUCGGGUAUGUGCCACGUGGUCUGCCAUUGGCAUUGGGUCUUUGGGCCCCAGGGUCCUCACUUGUAAAAUAAGGCCGUGCUGGACUACACCUGGCAGCCCUCCUCGUCGUAACCUUCUCUAAUCUCUGACGAAGGUGGCACUGUCCUUUUGUGAUUUGAAUUCAUUGAUUAGGCAUUUCAUCAAUGGCCAGUGUUGCUUCACUGCUGAGAUUACAAUAAUGAUGGUGAGGCUUCAGGGUUAACAAUUAACUAAAAUAAAUGAGCCAUUUCACACCUCUGCCAGUGCUCUCCUUUCCAACUCUUGAUAGAACAAACAAACAGCAAACAGCAAUGAAUGAAUUCACAAGCAAAGAUUAUUUUUGGCAAUUAGAAAAGUUAGACACUUCUCUGUACAUACACAUUAUGUACAGAAAUAGGUGUACACAUUUAUAACUGUGUGUAUACAUGCUACCAUUUGCCAUUAAAUGUGAAUGUUCCCAAAUAGUAAAUUACAAGAGCUUGUAAUAUUUGUAAUAUUUAGUGAGCACAGACUAUGCACCAAACACUGUUGAAAACUUGAUUUACAGUAUCUGUAACUUCUUAUCAGUAAUUUCUUCUGUUUCCAGUCUUAACACCCAAAAGUGAUUUCUCAUAAUAUGGAAGUUUAUAAAGUUUAUUGCAAACAUCUUGUCUGGGAGGCAUAAGUGUUAGAGCAUCGAGAGACAAUAUUUCAUAAAAAAGGACUCCAACUUGUCUGAAUUCUGGGGCGAAGCCUCACUGGAAAGGCAUGCAUUUGAUCAUGUUUAUGUCUGGGGGCGGGAAUUCCGUCCCUAAAUAAUUCUUCCCUUUUGCAGAGAGAGGGAAAAUCUUGGAGUUUAUGGAGAAUGGGAAACAUUUCCAUCUCUAGUGAGAUUGGAAAAAAAAGUCUCGAGUUCUCAGUGUGGCUCAGCGGGUUAAGAAUCCAACUAGUAUCCAAUAGGAUUCGGGUUCGAUCCCUGGCCUAGCUCGUUGGAUUAAAGGAUCUGGCAUUGCUGUGGCCAUGGCGUAGACCGGCAGCCCUGAUUCGACCCCUAGACUGGGAACUUCCAUGUGCUGCAGGUGCAGCCCUAAAAAGAAAAAAAAAAAAAAAAAAAAAAAAAAA
rnacentral:lncRNA from 1 species